rnacentral:snRNA from 1 species
GGAGAUAAGGAUGAUCUGACUGACGUGUCACCCCACUGAUCGCCAGGAUUGAUUCUGCCGAUCUGGCUGGAUAGGCAGUAUCCCCUUCUUCCCUCCCUGCUUCACAUUCAUCUAUUCCAGGGCUGCCCACUCGGCGGAAGAGGGCAACCUUUCCCCAUAGAGGAGGACACUUCUUCAGCCAAGAGUGUAUGGGCAGCUCCCGUACUAGAACCUCCAAACAAGCCCUCAAAAGCAAAAUAAAAACACAAAGGGCUGGAGGGUGUGGCUCAAAGUAGUAGAGUGACUGCAUAGCAUGCUCUA